UCUCCGUAGGUGAACCUGCGGAGGGAUCAUUACAGAGUUCAUGCCCUACCGGGUAGAUCUCCCACCCUAUGUUAUUAUUACUUUGUUGCUUUGGCGGGCCGUUAGGUUCCGGCCCGACUACCGGCCCCGGCUGGUAAGCGCCCGCCAGAGGACCCAAAACCCUGAAUAUUAGUGACGUCUGAGUACUAUAUAAUAGUUAAAACUUUUAACAACGGAUCUCUUGGUUCUG
rnacentral:misc_RNA from 1 species